rnacentral:tRNA from 1 species
GCCUGGCUGGCUCAGCUGGUGAAGCAUGGGACUCUUGAUCUCAGAGUUGUGAGUUUGGGCCCCAUGUUGGGCA